AGUGUAGAGGGUGGGCCUGGGUUCUCCCCAUUCUCCCAACUCCUGAUCGGACACAGGAGGAGUUGACCUGGUCUGUGAGAAACAUCAGAAGGGAAGGUCUAAAUGGGAAAGGGAUCUGGCCUGUUCCUGACCCACUAGAUAGGACACAGAGACUGCGGGGAUUAUACUCCGUUUCCCCCACGCUGGCCAGUGAUGAGGUUAGCUGAGUGGACAGCAGGUUGGAGCCACUAGCAAAAGUGGCCAAACUGAGAGCUGAUGUGAAUCUCUGAGUCUUUCUGGUUAGAAGGAACUGAAGAGAGUCGGGGAGAGGAGGGGGCAGCACCAGUCUUUAUACCAUCACACAGCAGCAAGUGUCAGCGGAGGACACAUAUGCCAUCCCUGCUGAUGGAAAAAUCUCUGACAACAGUGCCCUGGGCCUGCAGAUGUUUCUCAAGUGGAAAGGCUUGUCCAGCUGCAAACUCUCAUCUGCUUUCCCUGAGGACCUCUCCACUAAGACUCUCUUUACAAACUGGUCCCUGGAAAAGCUAGAUCUGAGUGCUAACACACCGGGAGACUCAGGACUGAAUCAUCUGUGUGAGGGACUGAAACAUCCACACUGUAACCUGCAGACAUUGCUGUUGUGGCACUGCCAUCUCACAACUGCUUGUUGUGGGGAUCUCUCUACUGCACUCAAUACAAACCAGUCUCUGACUGAGCUGGAGCUGAGUGGGAAUGAACUGAGAUUCAGGAAUUAAACUUCUGUGUGAGGACUGAAACAUCCCAGCUGUAAACUGCAGAAAUUAGUUUUGUCAGUAAUCCACAUAGAUGAAAUAACAACUAAAGAACUGGAAGUUUUGCAGAAGAUAAAACCUUGUUUGUAAUUGUGCAUAACGCAGCAUCCAGCCAUCAGAACCCAGGUACAAGGACAAGGAGGAUGGAAUGUCUUCUAUCUCAGUGUCAUACAUUCAACUUUAGACUAACGUCUCGGAGUUCAGAAAUGAUGUGGAAUAUUUUUGUGAUGCACUGUCGGGAGGUUGUCUGUACAGCAGCCCCGCAAGAGGACAGGGCUGGGGACGGAGCUGGGGUGGUACAGUUGCGCUGGAGGAGCUGCUGUCGUGGGCUUCUGCACUUUUUGCCACUGUGGUUCCUGGGCUGCCACACACUGGCAGCUGCUCCACUGCGGCUGUCCAGACCCCAGACAGGAGAUGCAGGCACACAGCGGUGUGGUAGGGCUGGGGGCGGUACAGCCGUGCUGGAGGAGUGCCAGCAUGGGCAGCUCCUUCUGUGUCUUUCCAGUAUGCCGUACUCGCUAUAAAUAGGUAUACCAUGUACCAGUAACCUGACUGGACUACUCUACUUGCACCACUGAAAGCAGGCUUAUAUGUGUGGCAGGAUGGGAGUGUGACAUCCCCCCAGGGCACAAUCUGGAACUGUGGGACCACUGAGUCCCCUUAAACUCUUUAACCUGCUCUAUUUCUUGUCAUGCUGUGCUAGUGAUAACCCGCAAACUCCUCCAGGUGCUGUAAUCACUCAGCCAUCAACACGUGGAUGUCAACACCCAGCUGAGUUGCAUGAAUUUUCUCUAAGCCACUGAUGAAUUAUACAUAGAGAGACCCCAGCCAGUCUAUCCAGCCCUCCCAGCCUUGCAUCCCAGUGAUAUACCAUCUUAUACUGCUCAAGACCUUCUCUUGGACAGUGCAAACACAUUAAUUAGUUCACCACUUCAUUAAAGGAAAGUGGAUAUGUAUCAGCCUUUGUAAUCUUAGCAGAUUCCCCAAGCACUUUAGACAGACUCAUUGAUAAGGUUAAAACAUUAAAAAAAAGUUUAUUAAAAUCUUUCUUUCUGUAGUUAAGUGUUUAUAAGUGUUAGACACAGAGGUCAAAGUUGGUUACAUAAGAAAUAAAAAUACUCACAGUCUAAAUUCUAAACUUUACCAAACUAAACUAAAUCAAACAGCUUUUCUCACCUCACUGGCUGUUCCUGGCAGUUUACAGUUCUUAAUACACAGGCUGAAUUCCCUUCUCAGCCUGGGACCAAUCUCCCCAGUUCAAAGUCUUUGUCUUCCAACCAAUCU